UCCGCCCGGGAACUACGAGCACAAGCUUAAAACCCAAAGGACUUGGCGGUGCUUUAGACCCCCCUAGAGGAGCCUGUUCUAGAACCGAUAAUCCCCGUUAAACCUCACCCAUUCUUGUCAUUCCCGCCUAUAUACCGCCGUCGUCAGCUUACCCUGUAAAGGAUACUACAGUAAACAAAAUCGGCUCAGCCCAAAACGUCAGGUCGAGGUGUAGCAAAUGAAUGGGGAAGAAAUGGGCUACAUUUCCUAACUUAGGAAAUUACGGAAUAUAUAAUGAAAAAAUAUAUAAAGGAGGAUUUAGCAGUAAAUAGAAAAUAGAG
rnacentral:rRNA from 1 species